UGCCUAACACAUGCAAGUCGAACGAUGAUGGGAGCUUGCUCCUGGAUUACUGGCGAACGGGUGAGUAACACGUGAGUAACCUGCCCUUAACUCUGGGAUAAGCCUGGGAAACUGGGUCUAAUACCGGAUAUGACUCCUCAUCGCAUGGUGGGGGGUGGAAAGCUUUAUUGUGGUUUUGGAUGGACUCGCGGCCUAUCAGCUUGUUGGUGAGGUAAUGGCUUACCAAGGCGACUACGGGUAGCCGGCCUGAGAGGGUGACCGGCCACACUGGGACUGAGACACGGCCCAGACUCCUACGGGAGGCAGCAGUGGGGAAUACUGCGCAAUGGGCGCAAGCCUGAUGCACCGACGCCGCGUGAGGGAUGACGGCCUUCGGGUUGUAAACCUCUUUCAUUACGGAAUAAGCGAAAGUGACGGUACCUGCAGAAAAACCGCCGGCUAACUACGUGCCAUCAGCCGCGGUAAUACGUAGGGCGCAAGCGUUAUCCGGAAUUAUUGGGCGUAAAGAGCUCGUAGGCGGUUUGUCGCGUCUGCCGUGAAAGUCCGGGGCACAACUCCGGAUCUGCGGUGGGUACGGGCAGA
rnacentral:rRNA from 1 species